GGGCAAUGGCGGGCGCCACUCCCCCAGCCUCGCUGCCGCCUUGCAAUUUGAUCUCAGACUGCUGUGCUAGCAAUCAGCGAGACUCCGUGGGCGUAGGACCCUCCGACCCAGGUCAAUUUUUUUUACUAAUUCCGGGGAGGUCAUCAAUGAUUUUGGGAUAACCUGCAUCCACGGACUGCAUAUUUUCAUCAUACCUGGUAACAAAAAAUAACUAAAAAUAUCACAUUGUGGUUAAUAUAAAAACAAUAAAAAACACUUAACUUUCAUGUAGAACUUUCCAUGUACUAAUCACUGUCCUAAGUGCUUUUCAUAUGAAGAUUCAUUUAAUUCUCACAACAAAUCUGAGAGGUAGGUACUGUCUGUGCCUCAAUUUUGCAAAACCCCGAUGGCUGCUUUUAAAAAUUAUGGGUGGGUACAUUGUUGGCAUGAAACUAUUAAGAAAUUUUAACUGGGAGGGAGAGUGGGGCAAACUAGACAAACUCUAAGUUAUUCUCAACCAUAAAAAUCUGAUUCAAAUUUUCCCUUGGGCUCCAUGUUCUGUCCUAUCAAGGAGAAAUGCUUC
rnacentral:lncRNA from 10 species